rnacentral:lncRNA from 1 species
UGUGUAUAUACGUCUCGAUAAUCUAAUUUUUGGUCUAAUUAUAUAAACAUAAAAAUUUUAAAAAAAUUAAUAAUGUUAACAACUUAAUAAUUAUAUUAAUUAAAAAAUUAAUAAUAUUUUCUUACCAUUUGUAAUUGGACGUCGAAAAUGUGUUUGUCAUCCAAACGAAAAAGAGGCAUUGAAAUUUUUAAGAUUAUAAAAAUAAAAUAAAAUCAAAGAAAUUAUGAAAUAUAAAAUUAAGACAAGAAGAAUUUGAGAGAAAUUGAAUGAAAAUGUUGAGAAUAAAAUAGUUGAGAGAAUAAGGGUUAUAUAUAAAAUGAAAUAGUCAUUGGAGGUAAAAAUGUAAUUAGCCGUUUGAAAUUUUAACUUGACCAUUGGACUAAAACGGUUCCUGCAUUUUUUAUUUCUCUCUCCAAAAUUGACUUAUUUUCUUAAAUUUAGGAAAUAUCAACUUAAAUCCCUUGUUAUGUUUAAAAUUGAAAAUUUUUACGUAAUUAGCCCCAAUUUUUUUCACCACCAUGUUCUCAAAAUAAAGAAGGGGACUUCAAUUUUGGAGUUGUAAAUCUUGAUGUAAAAUAUAAAAUAUAUAUUUACGAUUUGUUGGGUUUCAGUGAAUGUGGCAUCAAAAAUAAAAUGAUUGCAACAUUCUAGAAUUUUCUAAAAAUCAUUUGAAGACUAAAGUAUGCACCCUUUCAUUAUGUAACCAGAUUGGAUUUAAAUCCACAUCAAAUCACGUGGGUCGGAAUUAGAUUUUUUUUGGGUCUUGGGUUAAUUUUGCAUUAGGUCCUUCAUGAUUUGUUAGUCUGCUUUAGUCCUCCAUUCGUUUCAAUUUCACUCAAUUUAUACUUCCUGGAUUUUUUUUUUGAAUUCAGUUAGGGUUGUCUAUGUUUGAAUAUUUUUUCCAUUUUUAUUUCAUAUGGUUCAAAUUGGUGAUUAAUUAUUUCAUUAAAAUUUUUAAUGUAGUAUAAAAUCUAUGCAUCACACGGGAAAGAAAACUAAUUUGUAAAAUAAGUUGUUUCAUUUUUGUAUUUCUUGAAAUAUACAAUUGAGAAGUUAGAUUUAACGUAUUGAAUUAAUCAUAGAUAAAGUAAACGAAUAAUAUUUUUAUUUAUUUUUUGUAUAAUAUAGUUUUUAUUCUUUUGAAGCUAGAAAUAAGGUAUUAAAAUAAAAUAAUAAUUAAAUUUUAAUAAUAAAUAAUUAUUUUAGUUAUAUAUAAAUUAAAAUUAAGAUUUAUCGGUAUAGAUAGCAUUAUAUAUUUUAAUAAUAAUUACUUACAUUAGUUACACGGUUUAAAAAUUAAAUAAAAAAAUAAAUAUCUAUAUUUACAUGCAGUGUACAUAAAAUUUGAGACUAGUAUAUAUAAAAAAAUAAGUUUAGAAAAUUUUUUGUACUGAUGAAAAUAUUUUUUAUUUUUUAUCAUAUUAUUAAAUUCACAUUUAAAAAUAAUUAUAAUAUUUAAAUUAAAAUUAUUAAUUAAAAAGUUGAAAUAAAAUAGAAAUUGUAAUAAUUAUUCAUUUAAAAAUAACUAUAAUUUAAUAGAAUUUGUGAUAAUUGCACAUUUAAAAAUAAUUAGGAUUAGAAUUAAAAUUAUUAGUUAAAAAGUUAUGCUAAUUUUAAUAUAGAGUUAUUCCUUGAAUAAAACACUAAGCAUAAAAUAUAGAAAAAAAAAUUUGUGAAUAAUAUAAUUGUAUUUGUAAUUUACCAUUAUUAGUUAAUUUUUUAUGUAAACAAAAGUUUUGGUAAUUUUGUUGAUGUAAAAUAGAGUUAUUACUUGAAUAGAAUUCUAAUCAUAUUAAUUAUUACUUAGUUAAUAUUAGAGUUAAUUAAUCUGCCGCUUUGGCACGCUCUAUCUGUCCUUUUUGACACGCUUUAGUCUUGCUUCCUAUUUGUUUCCUUUUGUUGUAUUUUUCUUAUAUUUUUUCGGUUUGUUACUUUGAUCUUCCGUUUGUAGUGGGUUGUUUUCGUUGUGUGGUGAGAAAGAGGCAUUUUCUUUGCCAAACAAAUCUGAAGCACAAAAUGUUGUGUAUAAUUUCUGCUUGGUAGGGUGUUUUCUUAUUGCUAGUGUGGUGCAUUUCCCUACGAUGAGAAAUACUAUGGCCAACAUUUGGCAUCCUUUGGAGGGUGUGCAAAUUUCUGAUUUGGGGGAGAAACCCUUUCUUUUCAAGUUUUUCAAUGAGGUAGAUAAUUCACGGGUUAUCUCAGGUGCUCCUUGGACUUCCAAUAAUCACCUCCUGAUUUUCCAUAGGCUUGAGGAGAACGAAGACCCACCGGCUAUUCCUUUGGUGUUUUCAGAUUGUUGGAUUCAUGUCCACGAGUUGCCUCCGGGUUUCUUCCAGGAUUCUAUGGCAGUUCAGUAUUGGCAAAUUUCUUGAAUAUGACAUGAAGCAGUUGUCUAAUGGAUAUAUGAAUUAUAUACGCAUUUAGGUUUCGGUUUGAUGUUCGAAUUCAUCUAAAAAGAAGAAAGAAAAUUAAGAUUUUCGAGUCAAAAUUCACUUAUGCAAAAUUUAAGUAUGAAAAAUUAACUUUAUUUUGCUUUUUAUGUGGAUGUCUUGGUCAUGGUAAUAAUUUUUGUUCGCUGAGGUUACAAUAUGGAAUGCAGGAACUGGAGAUGGGUUGGGAUCUGUUUUUGAGAGCUCAAGGGAGGAAGGCUUCCAUUGCUAAUAGUAUCUGGUUAAGGGGGGAAGGAUAUAAUAGUUUUUUUUGGAAAGUCCCAUUUUGGGCAAUUUUCCAGCCAACAAUCAAGUCAUAAUCAAAGGCUUGAAUUAGGAGCUAAUUUUAUUUCCCCUUUUGGGAUUAAUUUGGAAGGGUCCAAAUUUCCUGCUGUUUUGAAUGAUUAUCAGCAAGGAAAUAAUUUUCGCAAUAAUGGGGAUAAGGAUUUGGAUCUUGGAAAAAGCCAAAUGUUUGGGCCUUCAUUUUCUAGUGACGUUCAAAGGAAAGCACCAGGUGGGUUGGGCCGACCAAAUGGGUUGUGAAUUAGAGGAACAACCUUUUAUUAAUGAAGAAGGUAAAAAAAAGGCAGAGAUUUAACGUGUUGAUCUCAAAUGUUUCUAAUGCUCAGGAUUUAUUGGAGGUUGCUAGGGAGAACUCUUCUCAUUAUAAUCAGAUAUCAGUGGCUGUCAUUGGGCUAGCCGACCAAAAGCAAUAAAAAUACCGUGCUGUAAUGUUUUCGGAUUGGGGAGUCUGCGAACUGUAAAAAGACUUUAGUAUAUACUGAAGAUUCAUCAUCCCCAACUUGUCUUAUUUGUGGAGACAAAAUUAAGUGCUAAUAAAAUAGAGGCAGUGAGGAGACGGUGUGGAUUUUACAAUGGUAUUGAUGUUUCAGCGAAAGGAUCUCGAGGGGGCUUAAGUGUCGGGUGUAAUGGGAAUAACUUAGUCAAUUUGCAGAGUUUCCCAAAAAAUAUCAAUGUUUAAAUUCAAGAAGAUGAUGCAACUUCUCGAUGGCAUUUCACCGGGUUUUAUGGGGCUCCGGAGUUUAAGAAUAAAGUGGAGACUUGGGAGUUACUUCAAAGGUUAGGGAGAAAUAAUUCACUUCCUUUAUUGGUGGGUGGUGAUUUCAAUGAUAUUCUUUUUACUUAUGAAAAACAAGGAGGAUUGCUAAGGGAGGAGGCUUGGAUGGAGGUUUUCCGCAGGACUUUGGAUGCUUUUCAAUUAGAAGAUAUUGGCUUUUUGAGAGCUUGGUUCACAUGGGAAAGAGGGAGAACUAUGGAAAGGAACAUUAGGGAAAGACUUGAUAGAGGAGUGGCCAGCGAUGCUUGGCUUUAACUUUUCCCUAAUUAUUCGUUGAGGCAUCUCCCACAUUCUUUCUCGGACCAUUUUCCUUUAUUCAUUGAAAUAGAGAAUGCUAGGAUGGAUAGAAGAUCUAUUCGGUUUCAAUUUGAAGCCUAGUGGGUUUUGGAGGAGACGUGUAAGGAUAAGAUUAGGAAGUUAUAAGAGGGUAGUUUUGGCUCCUUUCUUAUUCGCAUGACAACUCUUGCUGAUAGUUUGAAAGCAUGGGAUAACAAAAUUAAAAGUAAAGAAGGAUGGAAAGUGAAGCGUUUGAAUAGAAGAUUGGAGGAGUUGAAUUGUGAAGAGAUAUAAUAGGAGAAUUUGGGCAAGAUUUUUGAGGUCAAACUUCACUUGAAUAUGAAUUUGGAUAAGGAGGAGAAAUAUUGGGAACAAAAGGCAAGAGCUAAUUGGUUGAAAAUAGGGGAUAAAAAUACCUCGUUUUUUCAUAAAUUUACUUCCCAAAGAAGACCAGCCAAUCGUAUCUAGGGAUUGCAACGCAGGGAUGGAUCUCUUGCUAUGGAUGGAAGGGAGGUGGAAAGCAUUGCCUGUGGGUACUUUUCUGACUUUUUUGAGUCUAGAGGAAUAAGGGACUUGGAGCGCAUUCUUUUUAAGGUCCAUUUGUGUAUUUCAGACAAUGUGAAUCAAAGAUUAACAGCCACUUACAAGGAGGUUGAAAUUAUUGAGGCAUUGAAAGGAAUAGGACCUACUAAAGCGUCGAGUGCUGAUGGUUUUCCAAUAAUCUUUUACCAAAAAUUCUGGCACAUGAUCGGUAAGGAUGCUAGUGGUUUUUGUUUAAAUAUUCUUAAUAAUGGAAAUUCUUUGGAGGAUAUUAACAAAACCCAAUUGGUGCUGAUUCCCAAAGUGGCUAAUCCUAUUAAUCUGAAGAAUUUUUGCCCUAUUAAUUUAUGCGCAAUUAUUUUUAAGAUUAUUGUAAAAACUGUUGCUAAUCGACUUCAAAAGGCUUUGCAUGAGUGUAUUGAUGAUUCGCAGAGUGCUUUUGUUCCUGGCAGAUUCAUUACUAACAAUGUACUUUUGGCUUAUGAGGUACUUCACUCGUUCAAGAAUAAAAGAUAUGGGAGAAAGGGUCUCAUGGCUUUAAAACUUGAUAUGAGUAAGGCAUAUGACAGAGUGAAGUGGCCUUUCAUAAAAGGAAUAAUGUUAAAAAUGGGUUUUGAUGGGCAUUUUAUUGAUAUGAUUAUCCGUUGCAUGAAUUUUGUCUAAUAUUCCAUCUUGAUUAAUAGGGAAGAAGGGUCUAGUUUUAAACCUUCUAGGGGUUUGCGCCAAGGAGAUCCCUUGAAUCCCUAUCACUUUUUGUUUUGUGGUGAAGGACUUUCUACUCUAAUGAGACUGGCUAGUGAGGAUAAGAAAAUUUGUAGUGCUGAAGUUUGUAGGUCUGCCCCCUAUCACCCACCUAAUGUUUGCAGAGGAUUGUAUUCUAUUCGGAGAUGUAUCGAAUCAGGGAAUCAAUGUGUUGAAGGACAUUCUCGCAGAGUAUAAGUCAUGCUCAGGACAGUGUGUGAAUUUUAAGAAAUCCACUAUUUUUUUCAGUACUAAUGUGAAGGAUCAUGACAAGAAUCUGGUUUUUUCAGGUUCUUAAUGUUCGUUGCUCGACAGAUCCAGAGAGAUAUCUUGGGCUUCCAAAUUUGGUGGGCUAUAAAAAAAACGGCUUUCCAGAAUUUGAAAGAUCGUUUGAAGCAGAAAAUCAACAACUGGAGUAUAAGGCAUAUUUCUUAAGGAGGUAGAGAAGUUUUUAUUAAGGCUGUUUUACAGGCUCUGCCCAUUUAUACAAUGGCUUGUUUCCUUUUACCAAAAUCUCUUUGUUUAGAGUUAGAGAACAUAAUGGGUUCAUUUUGGUGGAGUAAUAACCAUGGAAAGAGAGGGAUGCAUUGGUGUGAUUGGAAGUCCUUAUGUGCGCUUAAGGGGAAAGGUGGCAUAGGUUUUCGUCAUUUGAGUUAUUUUAAUAUUACUUUGUUGGCCAAACAGGGUUGGCGUUUGUUAUGAUACCCUAAUUCCUUACUAGUGCGUACUUUGAAAGCUAAAUAUUUUAAGAAUUCUGAUUUCUUAAACUCUAGCUUAGGAAAUUUAUCUUCUUUUACCUGGUAAAGUCUUUAGGCUGCGAGGGGCCUCCUUCUGAAGGGUCUGGGGUGGAGGAUCAGGGAUGGUCGGAAAGUUUCUAUCUAGGACGAUGUUUGGAUUCCUGGAAAUGAUUAGGUCAGAGUCCAAAACAUGAAUAGUAACUUAAGACUUAUUAAGGUUGCAGAUUUGAUUAAUGCUGAGUCUAGACAAUGGAAUUUUGAUUUGGUUAAUAGUACCUUCUCAAGGCUAGUUGCAGAAAGAAUUCUUUGUAUCCUCUUCCUUUGUUGAGCAAGAAGAUUUUCUCAUAUGGAGGGGUGAGUUGUCUGGGGAGUACUUGGUUCGUAGUGGUCACAAAAUUCUCUUACAUGACGAACAGAAUCACAUACGUGCAGAUUACAUACAACUUUACAAGAAAUUGUGGAAGCUAGAUUUACCCUUUAAAAUUAAAAUUACAGUUUGGAGACUUUCGUGUAACUAUGUGCCUACUUUUAGUAACCUAUACUAUCGAAGGAUGCUGGCUUCUCCUACUUGUCGACGGUGUCAAUCUGGAGCGGGAACAAGGAAGCAUCUAUUUCAUGAAUACCGUUCUACAAAUGAAACAUGGGAGCAGUUAAGUAUUUUUUGGCCUAUUUUAGAUGAAACCUUAAAUUUCAGAAAUUGGUUAAAAAGUACUUUUGAGUCCAGAUCUAAAGCUAAUUGAAGAAUGAUAGCAUGUGUUCUAUGGGCGAUUUGGACUUUUCGAAAUAGAUUUAUUCAUGAAGGGGAAAUCAAAUCAAGUGCUCAAAUUGUUGUUUUUGUGAAAAACUAUUUAAAGGAACUUGAUGGUUUGCAUAGUUAUGUACCUGAAAGAAGGGUGUGUAUGAAUAGAUGGGUUGCGCCGUUGGGAUCGAGGUUGAAAAUAAAAUUUGAUGCCGCUUUUAACAACCAUAAAAAAGAGUCGUGCUCUGGGUUAGUGAUUUGAAAUAAGGAACCAGGGGUCAUUUGUUCAAAAACUGUAAUGAACACGAACAUACCAUCCGUCUUUGCAGCAGAAGCAGUGGCGCUUCAGGCGCUGAAUCUUGGGUUACAACUCGGGUUGAGAGAAGUGGAGGUUGAGGUUGACUCUUGGUCGGUAAUUCGGAAGCUGCAAGAGAAGAUGAAUGACAGAUUAGAGAUAUCAGUGUAUUUCAAUGAUGCUUUGCAACUGAAUUUAAGAUUCAGUUUAUGUGUCUUUGUUUUUACUAACAGAGAGGCAAACAAGGUUGCCCAUUUACUAGCAUCUGAAAGAAUUAAAAAGGGAGAGUCUACUUAUCUGUCGAAUUUGGUCCCUUUUGGCGUUGUGGAGGCGGUGGCUGAAGAUAGACAGUGGAUAGAGGAGGCGAGAAAGUCAAGAGAGAGGGGAAAUGAAGAGGUAGGUGUAACAACUCGAUUUAGACCCUAAUCAAAACGGUGGUUUCGGGACCACGAAUCUGAGUCAGAAAAAUAUUUUUAAAUUAUUUUCGUGUUUAUUUUGUUUGAAUUUAUAUCUGUGAAAAUUUCGUGAUUUAAUUUUGUCGUUUAGGUGUCCGAUUAAAUAAAGGACUUAAUCGCUUAAAUUAAAAACUUGAUAGUUUAAAACAUAAGGGCCUAAUUGUUAGUGGCUUUCUAAGUUAGGACAUUUAUGUUGUAAAUAUCUCAUUAAUAAGUAAGUGGGACGGCAUAAGAUAUAUGUUACAUGGUUUUUAUAUUAUAUUAGUAAAGGUAUAUA